CGGGAGGAAUGGUGGAAGCUGCGGUUUUACGGAGAGUGUUGAGUUAGUGCAGCUGGAUUUGAUGACCCCCCAGGGACCACGUCGGAAAAAGCAGUGUAGUCUCUUAUCAUCACCUCAGUGUGAGGCGCCAGUAAAUAAAAUAAUGAAGAUUAGGAUCAGAUGGAUGCAGGUGAACUCUAAAUUCAGGGACAAAACAAAACAAAAUCAAAGACAUUUUUUCCUUCCUGCUCUGGAUUAUGGUGAACUCAGUGUUUAGAUACUCAUCAUUGCAUUUCUGUGAAAAAGUUGGAGAUCUUCUUUCUCUAUAAACAUGUGAUAGGCCUUUGCUAGUGUUUAUCUGAAACUCUGCCUAUCACUACAAGUCCCUCACUGAGCUGGGAAGAACUGCUUUUAGUUUGUAUGUGUUGACCACCUGGAAGUCUUGAUAAAAUGCCCUAAAAUGAAUUUUAGCAACUUAAUGAAACCAUUUUAGCUUCUGUCUGUACUUCAUGAGUCGCCUCUCAUAUCCUGAUCUCAUAUCUUUAAUUCAUUUUAUUUGUAUAUUGUUUUAUUAUGGUUCUUUUCAAAGUUUAUCUUCUACAGGUUUUUGCCAUUUUAAAAGCUCCAGCUGAUUGCAACUGAUUGCUCGCCCUGAUUUAUUUUUAUGAAAAUAAAUUCAGCCAAUCAAUCCACUGUUACCCUGCCCUUCCAAAUUGCUUUGCUCCUGUUUCUAAAUGUAAUUUUAAAAAAAGUGAAGCACAGCAAUCAGUCACUGUUAAGCCAGAAUAUAUCAUCAAAUGUACCUCAUGAUUUAUGAUUUUUUUUUUUAUGCCCUUCCCCUCGCUGGCACUUACU